UCCAUAGGUUAAUGAGGCGAACCGGGGGAACUGAAACAUCUAAGUACCCCGAGGAAAAGAAAUCAACCGAGAUUCCCCCAGUAGCGGCGAGCGAACGGGGAGGAGCCCAGAGCCUGAAUCAGCAUGUGUGUUAGUGGAAGCGUCUGGAAAGGCGCGCGAUACAGGGUGACAGCCCCGUACACAAAAGCGCAUGUGCUGUGAGCUCGAUGAGUAGGGCGGGACACGUGGUAUCCUGUCUGAAUAUGGGGGGACCAUCCUCCAAGGCUAAAUACUCCUGACUGACCGAUAGUGAACCAGUACCGUGAGGGAAAGGCGAAAAGAACCCCGGCGAGGGGAGUGAAAAAGAACCUGAAACCGUGUACGUACAAGCAGUGGGAGCCCCACCACCAAAGCAUUCUCUGGUGUUGAAGGCCCUGCAAAGCAGCAUCGCGG
rnacentral:rRNA from 1 species